AUUAAAGAGUUCUAUAACUCCCAAACCCAUGUGAACAUACCUAACGUUGCCUCGGCAGGUCGCACCUACCUUGUAGCACCCUACCCUGUAGGGCCUACCCGGGAGGUGCGGGUAAGCCUGCCGGCGGCCCACCAAACUCUGUUUGAUAUUGAAUUCUGAACCUAUAACUAAAUAAGUUAAAACUUUCAACAACGGAUCUCUUGGUUCUGGCAUCGAUGAAGAACGCAGCGAAAUGCGAUAAGUAAUGUGAAUUGCAGAAUUCAGUGAAUCAUCGAAUCUUUGAACGCAUAUUGCGCCCAUUAGUAUUCUAGUGGGCAGGACCGUUCGAGCGUCAUUUCAACCCUUAAGCCUUCGUUGCUUAGUGUUGGGAGCCUACGGCAACGUAGCUCCUCAAAGUUAGUGGCGGAGUUGGUUCACACUCUAGACGUAGUAAUUUUUUAUCUCGCCUAUUAGUUGGACUAAUCCCCUGCCGUAAAACCCCCAAUUUAUCAAGGUUGACCUCGAAUCGGUUCAGACAAACUCGCUAAAUUGAAGCAUCUUAGUCAGCGAAGGAAAAGAAACCAACAGGGAUUGCCCUAGUAACGGCGAGUGAAGCGGCAACAGCUCAAAUUUGAAAUCUGGCCCUCGGGUCCGAGUUGUAAUUUGUAGAGGAUGCU
rnacentral:rRNA from 1 species